UGAAAUUCCACCAGACCACAUCCAAAUCGAGGAAAACGAAAUAGGGCAUGUGGCUUUCCUAAGCCCUUUAAACAUUAUUUAUACAUCUAUACAUAUAUAGGCAUGCAAUUUACAAGUAGUAGAACAAAGCUUAGAUAAAAGCAUUUGAUAAGUAAAAGAUUUUGUAAAACAUUUUGAAGUAAAACAGUUUGAUAACAGUUUGAACAGUGAUAAAAUCAUUGGUUUUCCUAGUUAUUAAUCACAUGUGAUUAAUGCAAUCACAUGUGAUUUAAGCAAUAACAAUAAGUAUUUAACUUGUAUCCCCCCCCCAUAAAGUAUUUAAAACAUUUAAAAUCAUUUCACAGGUUGAUUAAAGGGGUAUGAACUCACUUGAAAGUUUGAAGAUAGCGAGAUUGAAAAACGGGCAGAGUUCCGUCUCGGUAAACGGAUUGUUCUCGGGACUCUCGGGAAUCUCGGGAGUAAAAUCGACCCUCAGGACUUGAGCAAAAAGACCAGAGCUUCGGGUUUGAACGGGCACGGAAAUCGAGGCAAGAUCGUGAGAGAAAAAGAGAGAAUGAGCAAAAUUUUCGGAUAGCCUCGCAUUCUAUUUAUAGGGGGGUCUGAGAAGCCUCGUACGCGGGGCGUACACUUGUACGCAGGGCGUACGCAUACGUCAUGCAUGAGCGAGUCCUCGACUGCCUCGGCUUCGGAUGGGACGGAUCGGAUGGGACGGGUCGGACAGGGCGGGUCGGAUGGGGCGGGUCGGAAGCUUCGCAUAGGGGGACGUGGACGAUCCGAGGACCUUGACCUGAGUACGCGGGGCGUACGAAGGUACGCAGGGCGUACUCCGGUCCUAUCCGCUGACUCCCCUUCGGAUAAUACCGGGAGUUUAUAAUUAAAUUUAUAUUUAUUUUAAAUAAACUUCUAAAAUUCAUAUCUCCGUCAUACGAACUCCGUUUUUGACGUUCUUUAUAUCCACGCGAAGGUGAGACUAAGAUCUACAACUUUCGUUUAGAUUCCGUUGGCAAAUUCCGAAAUUAUUUUUAUUAUUUAUUUAUUAAAAUGACGUGAUUAAGGAAUUUCUUCUAAAAUUCAUAACUUCCUCAUCCGAAGUCAGAUUUGGACGUUCUUUUUAUGUACGCAAACCUUGAUAUGAUUCCUACUACUUUAUUUAAUCCGAAUAAGAUUUUAGGAAGGUUACAUUUUGACCUAAAUUUGAUCGGUUUUACAUUACAUUGACUCGAAAUAUCGGGUUGUCACAGCAUCCCCCCGUUAGAAGGAAUUUCGUCCCGAAAUUAGAAUUUUAAGCAAGUUAGAAAUUACAAAUAACUAAGCAAAAAGGUGAGGGUAUUUCAGUUUCAUCUGAUCCUCACGUUCCCAAGUGAAUUCCGGUCCUCGCUUGGCAUUCCAGCGAACCUUCACGAUAGGGAUACGACUUUGCUUUGUCUGCUUGACCUCACGGUCCAUGAUCUCUAUAGGUUCUUCCACGAAGUUGAGGCUCUCGUUGAUUUCGAUCUCGUCGAGUGGGAUUACAAGAGUCUCGUCGGAUAGACACUUUUUCAAGUUAGAUACGUGGAAUGUAGAAUGUACGUUACGAAGUGCGUCUGGUAGUUCGAGUUUGUAAGCUACGGGGCCGACUCUUGCAAGAAUCUCGAAAGGCCCUAUGUACCUCGGAUUAAGCUUUCCACGCUUGCCGAAGCGUAUCAAGCCCUUCCAGGGUGAGACUUUGAGGAGGACUCGGUCUCCCACCUGAAAUUCCAAAGGUUUCCUUCGUUUAUCAGCGUAGCUCUUCUGUCGGUCUCUAGAGGCUUUCAAUCGUUCACGGAUCUGAACGAUUUUCUCUGUUGUUUCCCGAAUGAUCUCCGGACCGGUGAGAGUACUGUCGGAAGUUUGCCCCCUGGCUAAUUGGGUAUCACCCACCUCAGCCCAGCACAGAGGGGAUCUGCACUUACGGCCGUAGAGAGCUUCAAAUGGAGCAGCCUUGAUGCUCGUGUGAUAACUGUUAUUAUAGGAAAACUCGACAAGGGGUAAAUGAGUAUCCCAUGCCUUCCCAAAGUCAAUCACGCAGGCUCGCAACAUAUCUUCUAGAGUUUGGAUGGUCCUCUCACUCUGUCCGUCGGUCUGAGGAUGGUAGGCUGUGCUCAUGUCCAGCCUCGUUCCUAGGGAAUGUUGUAGUGAUUGCCAAAAUCUUGAGGUGAACCUACUAUCUCUAUCGGAGAUAAUGGACAUAGGUACACCAUGUAGCCGUACGAUUUCCCUAAUGUAUGUUCUCGUAAGCUUCUCCAUCUUGUCGGUUUCUUUGAUAGGCAGGAAGUGUGCAGACUUGGUCAAUCUAUCAACGAUGACCCAUAUGGUGUCAAGUCCACCCGUUGUCUUGGGCAACUUGGUUAUGAAAUCCAUAGUGAUCCGCUCCCACUUCCAUUCCGGGAUCUCUGGUUGCUGCAAUAAACCAGAGGGCUUCUGGUACUCGACCUUAACCUUUGCGCAAGUAAGGCAUUUACUUACGAAGGUAGCAAUCUCUGCUUUCAUAUUAGGCCACCAGUAUAGCUUCUUAAGAUCCAGAUACAUCUUAUCUGAACCUGGGUGGACGGAAUACCGAGUGUUGUGCGCCUCGGUCAUGACCAAGUCUCGGAAGCCACCAUGUUUCGGUGUCCAGAUCCGGUUCAUGAAAUAUAAAGCUCCGUCACCCUUGGCUUCUAAAUUCUUGUCCAUUCCUCUAAGGGAUUCACUUGACACAUUUUCAGAUUUCAUGGCCUCAAGUUGAGCCGCCUGAAUUUGCUUAGUCAGGUGUGAAUGGAUGGUUAUCGAUAAUGACUUGACUUUGCGACCAGAAUAUUCCUUCCGACUUAGGGCGUCUGCUACUACGUUGGCUUUACCCGGAUGAUAACGAAUAUCGCAUUCGUAAUCACUGAGUAGCUCGACCCAUCGUCGUUGUCUCAUGUUGAGCUCCUUCUGAUCGAAAAUGUGUUGUAAACUCUUGUGGUCGGUAAAGAUAGUGCUCUUCGUUCCAUACAAGUAAUGUCUCCAGAUCUUCAGAGCAAACACUACUGCUCCUAGUUCAAGAUCGUGGGUCGUGUAGUUAACCUCGUGUGUCUUCAAUUGUCUUGAGGCGUAGGCGAUGACCUUACCUCGCUGCAUCAGAACACAUCCGAGUCCUUGGUUUGAUGCAUCGCAAUAAACUACGAAGUCUUCUAUUCCUUCGGGAAGGGAUAGUAUUGGUGCGGUGCACAAGGCUCGUUUGAGCGUUUGGAACGCUCUUUCUUGUUUCUCUUCCCAGUCAAAGGCCACACCUUUCUGGGUUAGGGUUGUAAGAGGCUUCGCUAUUCGUGAGAAGUUCUGAAUGAACCUGCGGUAGUAGCCAGCGAGACCUAGAAAUUGACGAAUUUCUGUAGGAGUCUUCGGUGCUGACCAGUUCUCAAUGGCCUUAAUUUUGGAUGGGUCCACGUGGAUUCCCUCUUCGCUUACCACGUGUCCUAAGAAUUCGACUCUUCGGAUCCAAAAUUCACAUUUCGAGAACUUCGCAUAAAGUUUCUCUUUUCGUAAUGUCCCUAGAACUUGUCGCAGAUGAUCGCCAUGUUCUUUCUUACUUCGGGAGUAGAUUAGGAUGUCGUCAAUGAAAACGAUGACGAACUGAUCCAAGUAGGGUCGGCAUACUCUAUUCAUCAGAUCCAUGAAGACUGCGGGCGCAUUGGUCAAUCCGAAUGGCAUCACCACGAACUCGUAAUGUCCGUAACGAGUUCGGAAGGCGGUCUUCGGCACAUCCUCCUCUAGCACUCGUAACUGGUGAUAUCCGGAUCUCAGAUCAAUCUUAGAAAAAUAGUUCGCCCCUUGCAGUUGGUCGAAUAGAUCAUCUAUGCGUGGUAGAGGAUAACGAUUCUUGACCGUCAGUUUGUUGAGUUCUCUGUAGUCAAUACACAUACGGAAGGAUCCGUCCUUCUUCUUAACAAACAAGACCGGUGCUCCCCAAGGUGAGAAACUUGGCCUUAUAAAGCCCUUGCUGAGCAGUUCGUUAAGUUGACCAGAGAGUUCUUGCAUCUCGGCUGGUGCUAAACGGUAGGGCGACUUGGCUACUGGGGUAGCUCCUGGGACUAAGUCGAUUCUGAACUCGACUUGUCGUUGCGGAGGUAAUCCGGGUAGUUCUUCUGGGAAAAUGUCGGGGAAGUCGCUCACUACUGGGAGGUUCUUUAGUUCUUUCGUUUCUAGGUUCGUGUCGACGACGUGAGCAAGGAAUGCGUGGUAUUCCUUACGCAGGUAUUUCUGUGCUUGAAUACUUGAUAUGAUGCGAAGACUUGCACCGGGUUUGUCGCCAUAGACUAUAAGAGUUUCGUUAGACGGAAGGUUUAGACGGACUGCUUUCUCGAAGCACAUGAUGUCGGCACGAUGAAGGCUUAACCAGUCCAUGCCAAUGAUGACGUCGAAACUUUUUAUUGAGACUGGCAUGAGGUCGAUUGGAAAUGAAUGGUUGUCUAGGGUUAGGGUACAACCUAAGUAUAUGCUACUCGUAUUUUCAGUUUUUCCAUUAGCCAUUUCUACUGUAAAUAGUUCUUUGAGUGCGUGCGGUGGUUGAUUAAGCAUGCGAGCAAAUUUAUGGUUUACGAAGCUUCGCUCCGCUCCACUAUCGAAUAGAAUGCAUGCAUAGGAGUUAUCGAGGAGGAACGUACCGGUUACUACUGUCGGGUCAGCAACUGCUUCCCCGUGGCCUAUAGCCAGUACCCUCCCUGCUCCUCCAGCAUUCCUCGCUUUGGGGCAGUCCCUCUUAAAGUGGCCUGCUUCGCCACAUCCAUAGCAGGUUGGGCUCGCGCCAGAGCCAGGGACUUGGUUGAUAGGUUGUGCCGGGAACUUACAGAAUCGGACGGUGUGUCCUUUCCUGUUGCAGUUAGAGCACUGCAAUUCACGGCAGGGGCCGUUGUGGUGGUAGCUGCAUUUGUUGCACUUGGGCGAACUUCCAGCAUACCGACUCACCGGAGCAGUAGUAGCAGCAGUAGGGGUUACUGCGGCAUGAAUUGCCACCAAUUGCUGCUUUUUGGCAGCCUGAUGCUUCUUCCUUUCAUCCCAGAAUUUCCGCUUAGUAUCGGCGGGUUUGGAGGGUUCCGGGAUGGCUAGGGUGGUUGUGGUUGCAGGGGUUUUGACUCCAUGGUCAAUGAGUCGUUGUGCCAAUCGUUUGGCACUGUCGAAGGUAGCGGGGUUUGACGCUAGCACAUUCCCCUGAUACGGAGGCACUAGUCCCCAUAUGUACCUCUCGAUCUUCUUCCCCUCGGUGGGAACCAUAUUGGGGCAGAGGGCCACCAGCUCGCUGAAUCGGGCAGUAUAAGCGACCACAUUGGUGCCCUUCAUCGACAGGUUCCAGAGUUCCUGCUCCAGUUUCUGGAUCUCGCCCCUCGGGCAGUAUUCCUCAGUCAUGAGGUCUUUCAUUGUUUCCCAGCCCAUGUCGUUGGCUACGACGAGAGUUAGGGCUUUGACGUGGCCGUUCCACCACGUUAGGGCUUUACCCUCAAAGGUGCAGGCGGCAUAUUUCACCUUGCACGCAGCAGGGCAUGAACAAAUUUCGAAGACUGAUUCAGUCUUCUCGAACCACUGCGAGAGAGCAAUGACUCCGCCGGUGCCAUAGAAAGGCUUCGGCUUGCAGUUUGUAAAAUCCUUGUAAGAGCACUCCCUUGAGCGCACAGGGAUUUCGAUCGGAAUAGAUUCCACAGGGGUUCCACCUCUGCUGGCAUCAGAAGAGUGAUACUGAGCCAUGGCAGUUGCCACUGCUGCAGCUACAACAGCAUUCAGGGCUACAGUAUCGAUGACCGGAGGCGGAGGAGGUGGUGGAGGUGCAGGAUUAUUCCUAUUCCUGGGAGACUUGCGAGGAGGCAUCCUUCAGCUGAAAGUUUAAAAAGAUAAGAAAGAUGGUAAGAAUCAAUUUGUAAGCAACGCGAGAGUGACACAUGGACUAACUAAACAUAGUCCAACAGUUGAAAGGGUGCUUGAAACCACAACAAGCAUUAUUAGUAGGAAAGCACAAGUGUAUAGAUUUUUCCCCAGAUAGAUAGAUCUCAAAAAUUUACUGGUAUUACUGAUGUAAUAAGUUCAGGGAAAAUCGACCUAACAGUAGGUCAUACAUCAUACCAUAUAGAAAAGUUUGACAGUCCUUAGAUUUCAAAUUUGAGUACGGAAGUUAGAAACAUUUUACACACAAGCGCUACUUGGAGCACAGAUGUUAAAGGCUAUCCUUUAAUUAAAAGACGGAGCUGUACUAGACAUCAACCAACGGCGAUGGGAAAAUCCCGGGCGAGUACUGCGGUCGGAUACUUGACGAAACACCUCUUGAAUGGGUCGAUCCUGAGUCCUCUGACGAGCUCGAAGUUCCAAUAUUUCAGCUCGUGAGGCAGCCAACUGCUACUGCAGGGUUUUAUUUGUCCUCCGGGUCCGUUCCAUGUCUUCUUCAAGACGGCGGAUGCUGACUGUGUUGACACCUGAGUCGGCAUCAAUCUCUAUGACCCGGUCGACGGCUGCUCCACCUUGCUCGACAAUACGAGCUAUUCUGCGGAUAAUGACAGGCAGAGCUCGGUCAGUAGAGCCACCAUCGCUGACGUUGUAAAAGGUUCGGUCCCCAAAGUAUGGUAAGGGUUGACCCUGAUCAUCACUCCAGCGGUUCGGUUGUUUGCCCACAUGGGUGUAGGACCUGGAAACGCUGGUCGAGGGUUGUUGUUCGGGGCUUGACCUACAAUCGGUAGGUUGUUGACUUCAGGCUCGGAGUCGGACCCAUCUGAAAAGCCUUCUGCGAGGUGAUCAUCCAAAGGGAUUGGAUGAUCAACUUCGGGCUCUUCAUCGAUCCACCCGGCAUUGCCUUCAUUGGGAAAGUACGGGUCGCCAUGAUGGAUAUCUAGCCAUCAAGAUCUACGCGAGAAUAGAGGUAUAAGAAUAUAGUAUACGUGUAACUAGUAGCGCAAAAUACUCCUAUAGUAUUUUAAGUUUAAGUUCUAUUGAUCUUCUUGUGGUAUUGUUGGUAAGUUUUUAGACUUGCUAACCUAUCACAACCAUUCUAAGGCAUGUGCUAAUCACUCCUAGGAUCAGCAUAGUUGAUCAGGCUAUGCCAUUCCCAGGACUGACCAUACAUCCCCGAGCUCACUUGUGAUAUUUAACAAUCGUAAUACUUUUGUUCUUGUCAUUGUGACACUUAUUUUAGUAUGAAUGCAGACUAGUAUACUUAGUUAAAUAUUUUAUUAUUUUAAGUAUAGACUCUUGGUCAGAGUUUAAUCCCCAAUGGGUUUAUAGUUUAGUAUAUCUUUUAUGGGUUGAUAUACUCAAUUCACUAUAAACAAUGCUCUGAUACCAAUCUGUCACACCCCAAAACCAAGAACGGCGGAAACGUUCUGGGGCGGAGGACGUCAUGUAAGGUAAUCACAACACAGUAAAUGUAAAUAGGCAAACAACAUCAUCCAUUGCAUUAAAUAUAUAAAUUUAAUACAUGCGUGUUCUGUACAGUUUUAGACACCAAAAAUAUAACGUAAAUCAAAAUAAUAAAAUGAUGAGUCUUGAGUACGCUCCAUCAUCUCAAAAGCUGGCAUCGGUACCUGUCUACUGAUGACCUGAGAAUACAAGUUAUUUUGAAAGAGUUUAUCAGCAUUAAGCUGGUGAGUUCAUAAGUAUUUUAGUGUCAAUGUUCAUUGUCAAAAACGUUUGAACUUGUCCCAAUGUAUAAGUUUGUAAAAAUGUAAAUAAAUGUUUAAAAGUAUUUGCAAAAGUUUGAAUCUCUCAGAAAAUCCUAUAUUUUCUAUAAUAGUAACCUUCUACCAAGGCUUAACUGUUUUGUAAACUCGUCUGUUGUAAAAGUGUGUGAUUACCCAAGUAUAACUAUCAUUUGAUAAAAUAUAGUUUGUACAUUAAUGCUUAAGUGAGAUUAUCACCAAAAUAUGUAAUGGGUAAAUCAUUGUAGUACUGUAGUUUUGUAUAAUAAGAACUACUGUUGUACUAAUUACUACUACCUUAAACCGGAUUUAUAUUAAGGUAUAAUGUGAUAAUUGCACCAUACUAUCGACUGAUAACAACGACAUAAAGAACGGUCGUAAUAACGGAAUGACGUUUGGCACCCGCAGACCUGCAGGUCCGGCUGUAGCUAGCAGCAAGGUGUAGGAUAGUCAAUCCAGUAUAGAUCUAUACGCAAACUCAACGCUCUCCCUCCAAGAGAAUUCUGGCUACAACUCGGGCCAUGACAUUUAAGGCAUGCUCCGAUACAGUGGAUCACAUUUGUUAUCGUAUUCUUGCAUGUGUGAUGAAAUGUUUCUUGUUCUAGUAUAGUUGUAUAUGUUCUCGUAGUAUAGUUGUAUAUAUUCUCUUCCUAGUAUAGACUCAUGAAUGAACUGACUCAUUGAUCUAGCAGUUGUAAUAGUAUGAUCCUGUGUUACCCCGAUGGUAACUUACUAAUGGUGUGUCUAGUACGUAUGAAUAUGGAAGUACUUUUAUGUCUAUAUAUGUAUAUUUGAUAUAUAAUUAAUAUUGAAACGACCUUCGGAUGGUCACCCGAAAUUCCACCAGACCACAUCCAAAUCGAGGAAAAGGAAAUAGGGCAGGUGGCUUUCCUAAGCCCUUUAAACAUUAUUUAUACAUCUAUACAUAUAUGGGCAUGCAAUUUAUAAGUAGUAAAACAAAGUUUAAAUUAAAAGCAUUUGGUAAGUAAAAGAGUUUGUAAAACAUUUUGAAGUAAAACAGUUUGAUAAACAGUUUGAACAGUGAUAAAAUCAUUGGUUUCCUAGUUAUUAAUCACAUGUGAUUAAUGCAAUCACAUGCGAUUUAAGCAA
rnacentral:lncRNA from 1 species